rnacentral:rRNA from 1 species
UGGGGAAUAUUGCACAAUGGGCGCAAGCCUGGUGCAGCCAUGCCGCGUGUGUGAAGAAGGCCUUCGGGUUGUAAAGCACUUUCAGCGAGGAGGAAGGUGGUGAGCUUAAUACGCUCAUCAAUUGACGUUACUCGCAGAAGAAGCACCGGCUAACUCCGUGCCAGCAGCCGCGGUAAUACGGAGGGUGCAAGCGUUAAUCGGAAUUACUGGGCGUAAAGCGCACGCAGGCGGUUUGUUAAGUCAGAUGUGAAAUCCCCGGGCUCAACCUGGGAACUGCAUUUGAAACUGGCAAGCUAGAGUCUCGUAGAGGGGGGUAGAAUUCCAGGUGUAGCGGUGAAAUGCGUAGAGAUCUGGAGGAAUACCGGUGGCGAAGGCGGCCCCCUGGACGAAGACUGACGCUCAGGUGCGAAAGCGUGGGGAGCAAAACAGGAUUAGAUACCCUGGUAGUCCACGCUGUAAAACGAUGUCGAUUUUGGAGGUUGUGCCCUUGAGGCGUGGCUUCCGGAGCUAACGCGUUAAAUCGACCGCCU